GACGAACGCUGGCGGCGUGCUUAACACAUGCAAGUCGAACGGAAAGGCCCUGCUUUUGUGGGGUGCUCGAGUGGCGAACGGGUGAGUAACACGUGAGUAACCUGCCCUUGACUUUGGGAUAACUUCAGGAAACUGGGGCUAAUACCGGAUAGGAGCUCCUGCUGCAGGGUGGGGGUUGGAAAGUUUCGGCGGUUGGGGAUGGACUCGCGGCUUAUCAGCUUGUUGGUGGGGUAGUGGCUUACCAAGGCUUUGACGGGUAGCCGGCCUGAGAGGGUGACCGGCCACAUUGGGACUGAGAUACGGACCAGACUCCUACGGGAGGCAACAGUGGGGAAUAUUGCACAAUGGGCGGAAGCCUGAUGCAGCAACCCCGCGUGCGGGAUGCCGGCCUUCGGGUUGUAAACCGCUUUCGCCUGUGACGAAGCGUGAGUGACGGUAAUGGGUAAAGAAGCACCGGCUAACUACGUG
rnacentral:rRNA from 1 species